AGCGAACGCUGGCGGCAUGCCUAACACAUGCAAGUCGAACGAGACCUUCGGGUCUAGUGGCGCACGGGUGCGUAACGCGUGGGAACCUGCCCUUAGGUUCGGAAUAACUCCCCGAAAGGGGUGCUAAUACCGGAUAAUGUCUUCGGACCAAAGAUUUAUCGCCUUUGGAUGGGCCCGCGUUGGAUUAGCUAGUUGGUAGGGUAAAAGCCUACCAAGGCGACGAUCCAUAGCUGGUCUGAGAGGAUGAUCAGCCACACUGGGACUGAGACACGGCCCAGACUCCUACGGGAGGCAGCAGUGGGGAAUAUUGGACAAGGGGCGAAAGCCUGAUCCAGCAAUGCGGCGUGAGUGAUGAAGGCCUUAGGGUUGUAAAGCUCUUUUACCCGGGAUGAUAAUGACAGUACCGGGAGAAUAAGCUCCGGCUAACUCCGUG
rnacentral:rRNA from 1 species